GGGGGUAUUCCGUGGCCGGUUGCCGCGGCUGUAAACCGCUUGCACGAGAGUUCGAUUCUUUCUACCCCCACCA
rnacentral:tRNA from 1 species